UACAGAGGGGCAAGCGUUGUUCGGAAUUACUGGGCGUAAAGGGCGCGUAGGCGGCCAACUAAGUCCGACGUGAAUCCCCAGGCUUAACCUGGGAACUGCGUCGGAUACUGGAUGGCUUGAAUUCGGGAGAGGGAUGCAGAAUUCCAGGUGUGGCGGUGAAAUGCGUAGAUAUCUGGAGGAAUACCGGUGGCGAAGGCGGCAUCCUGGACCGACAUUGACGCUGAUGAGCGAAAGCUAGGGAGC
rnacentral:rRNA from 1 species